CCCAAGCCUUCUGGCGAUCUCUUAUAAAGAAAGCCCUCCAUAAUAAAUUGAAAAGGGUCCUUUGGGGAAAAGUUUUCCCUUUGCUAAGAUGAAGCCGGGGAAGGUUUUCCGGUUUAUCCCGGAGGGCUUGUAGCUCAGUUGGUUAGAGCGCGCGCUUGAUAAGCGUGAGGUCGGAGGUUCAAGUCCUCCCAGGCCCACCAAUCAUUCUAUCAAUCUAUAAGCGCUUGUGGAAAUUGCUCAUAGAAAACUUUCUUUAUUCAUUUAUGAAAAAUCUCCUUAUAGAGAGACGCUUUUCCCUUUGGGUUUGAAAAUUCAAAAUUAAAGGUGUUAAAGUGGCUUUAAAGGAAAAGUGACAAAGAAUAAGGAAUAACGAUUUAAGUUAUCCCUUUUUGGUGAUCUUGAUUUGGGUGUUUUGAAUGCGUUAUGUUUUUUAGGGGGGCCGUAGCUCAGCUGGGAGAGCACCUGCUUUGCAAGCAGG
rnacentral:misc_RNA from 1 species